GUAAUUUAGCCACUCUGGACGUAAAUUAGACUCUGGUAACCCUAUUGCUAGCCACUCUUGGCGUAGGCUUGGUCGUACGAAUCGUAGCUCAGUCUACGGCUAAAUUCGUGAAAUAAAUUAAACUUCACAACUAACUUAAGACUCGCAAAGUUAAUUGACGUAAUAAGUUAGAGAUACAAAAAUUGUCGAGAAUAGGACUUAGAACUUUUUUGAGAACCUAAGAUUCUAGAUUUCAUUCCCUAAUGUGUAGUUGAGCUCUGGCCGAAGCGACAGAGUAACUUUGGGACCCGUAUCAAGGCCAAAGCGACAAGAUGGGGUAGGAUCGUUAAGGCCAUAGCGACAAAACGAUUUAAAUCAAUUAAGGCCAUAGCGACAAAAUAGAUUUUGUAUUGUGGGUAUUUAGAACCUCUUGGGGUUAGGUUCAUCUGUAAUUAUCAACUACCUAAGACUCUACACUUAUACCCUACUGUAGUUGAACUCUGGCCGAAGCGACAGAGUAACUUUUGGAUCCGCAUCAAGGCCAAAGCGACAAGAUGGGAUGAGAUCAUUAAGGCCAAAGCGAAAAAUGAUCUCCAAGUCUAUCAAGGCCAAAGCGACAAGAUAGAAGAAUUAUUAAG
rnacentral:lncRNA from 1 species